AUAUUAUAACCAUAAAAUAUCAUUUUUUCAAGUGCUAAUAAAUAGCUUUUUCAUAAUUUAUAAUUCAUAAUUAGUAAUAGUAAUACUAACAGAUGCCUUUUUUGCUCACUUGGUUAAUUUUACUUCUGUUGAAGUUGAUUACAGUUUUAUGUUAUGAAACUCGAAUUGAUUUGAGCCUCUUAGAUAUAGAUAUGAUUAAUUUGCUAGCAACAACACAUUGAAAAUUGCAUUCAUAUUGUCAAGGUAAGCAGUCCAAUUGAACAUCUUUGAGUGGGCCAGAUUGAUCGAUGUUCGAGUCUAGCCCAAUAACCAAUAUUAUUUUAAAAAAAUAAUUAGAAUAAUAAACCAACCUAAUCCAACCCAGAAAAAAAAAAGCCCAAAUCCUAAGGAACCAUGGGUCUCUAGGCUAACGGUAUGGCCUUGAAUCCAUCUUUUUUAGCAACCAAACACCAAUUCCUCUAACUAGCAAAACUUCACCAACCUUCAACGGAGGAUUUGCAAGAUAGCUUGAAACUCCAGCAUGUCGGGAAAGCACAAGAUCUGAGGAACUGCAUUGUAACACUCUAAUUUUUUUUUAAAGAAAUAUAAAUAUGGUUGUUAUUAGAGAUAAAUAAUAAAUUUUAUAAUGUUUUGGGGAGAAAGUUAAAUUUGAAAUUGGAUUCAUAAAUGAGGAUUUGAAUUUUUUUGGUGUAAAAUGGACUUCUGGAAAGAUCAAGGAUCAAAUUGAACUUUUCCUCUUAAAGUGGGACAGCUGGCCACUCUCUCUGAUGGUCCAGCAUCUUUAUAAAAAAAAGCGCAAAAAGGAAGAAAGAAGAAUUGGCAAAGUGAAGGAAGAAAGGAACAGAAAGAAGGAAAGAAGAGGAAAAAGAAGAAGAAAGAAUGGCCGGAUUUUUAAGGUUUCUCUAGCAAGGAAGAACACCAGUAAGGGAAAGAGAGGGAGAGUGAUCGAAAAUAUAAGAAAUUAUAGAGAGAAAGGGAGAAAGAAGGAGAAUGGUGGCAGAAACAACGGUUGAUCAGGGUAGCAGAUAUUUCUCUUGUUCAGGCAACAGAUGGAUGUUAAUUUGAAGUUGACCUGUUUUCUUUCUCGCAAGGAAACUUAAACCAUUAAUGUAUUAACUUUAUUUAUUUUUGUUAUAUCUAGAACUCCGUAAUGACUGUAUUAGUUUCCCUUAUGAUAUAAAACUAACAUGUUAAAUUUAUUAUGUAUGUGGAAUGUUGGAUUUAGGACGAGUUGAGCUCCCUAUAGUAAUAUUAGUUAUGAUUGUGGAUUGUGAGGGUAAGCUGAGCUUCCCAAAUUGUGCAUUUUAUUAUAUUAUAAGUUGAGUGAGUUUUCCUCCUCGUUGGAUUAUCCAUGUUAUGGUUGGACUUUGUCUGUU